rnacentral:rRNA from 1 species
GAUGAACGCUGGCGGCGUGCCUAAUACAUGCAAGUCGAGCGAACGGACGAGAAGCUUGCUUCUCUGAUGUUAGCGGCGGACGGGUGAGUAACACGUGGAUAACCUACCUAUAAGACUGGGAUAACUUCGGGAAACCGGAGCUAAUACCGGAUAAUAUUUUGAACCGCAUGGUUCAAAAGUGAAAGACGGUCUUGCUGUCACUUAUAGAUGGAUACGCGCUGCAUUAGCUAGUUGGUAAGGUAACGGCUUACCAAGGCAACGAUGCAUAGCCGACCUGAGAGGGUGAUCGGCCACACUGGAACUGAGACACGGUCCAGACUCCUACGGGAGGCAGCAGUAGGGAAUCUUCCGCAAUGGGCGAAAGCCUGACGGAGCAACGCCGCGUGAGUGGUGAAGGUCUUCGGAUCGUAAAACUCUGUUAUUAGGGAAGAACAUAUGUGUAAGUAACUGUGCACAUCUUGACGGUACCUAAUCAGAAAGCCACGGCUAACUACGUG